AAAAAAAAAAAAAAAAAAAAACUCCGCAAAUAUACUACUCUAAAAAAGAUAUCCAAAAAUAGCUCAACAUCAAUAAAGGUAGUGAAAUUGGACGAUGAUAAAAAUUGGAUUUUUAGAGCAAAAAAAGCAAGCAAAAGCAAACCUUUUGCCCCCUCUCUAUGAACUUCACGGCAUAGAGCUCUCUUGUGGCCACAUCUCUAACCAACUUCGCCACCCCAAAAUUACCCGACCCGAUAUCUCUGAUCACCUCGUAACGCUCCAUUUUUUUAAAUUUUGUUCCUCCUGUUUCACCUCACAGAAGAACGAAGCCCAAGCAGAGGAAGUGCGAAGCAAUAAUCAUAGACAAAAGAGACCACACCAAGCUAGCUCCUUUUCUUCUUUUCCCCUGUGUUUUUGUUCCUCUCUUCUCUCUCUCUCUCUCUCUCUCUCUCUCUCUCUCUUUCUCUUUUUCUUUUUCUUUUUUUUCUACUGUAGGAAAAGAAGAAAUAAGAAAGGGAGCAGAAGGAGAAGAGAUUGAGGAGAUUGCCGACUUUAUAACAACGUAAACAUCCGUCCGACUGUCCGACGUGCGUGCGUUACGGCGAAGUCAGCUUGCGGGUAUGGGGACUUGGAAAAGGAUUUAAUUUUUUUUUUAAAAAAAUGAUAUCCCACUGUAAUGCAUUUUUUUAUAUAAAAAAAAACACUUUAGUACAACACCAUUUGUACAUUCUGAAUAAAAAUAAUAUAUUUUAUAUUUUUAAAUUUAAAAACUAACUUUUAAUUAUUGUCCUAUUAAUUAUUUUCAAGUCCCAAAACUUUAAAUAAUUUUUAUUAGAUAUUACGGUGAAGACGUGUAAAAUUAACUUUUUCUUCUUGCGUGUGUAACUUGUAAUUUUUUUAUCGAUUUUAGAGCUAAAGUAUUAACAUUCUAAUACAGUAAGAUAGCGUCUAAAAAUUUUUCUCCAAAAAGUAAAAAAGAAAAAGAUACCUAACUAUGUGAAGUAUGGAGGAUCAUCAUGUUUGCAAGUGGCCAAAAUUCGCUUUAUUGUUUAUUUGGCCUAACUGUAAGUUACAGUAUUACCUGAGUAGUAGUGUUGAAUCAAAGCAUUAAAAGUAAUAUUUUUAUUAAUUCAAAAUUAUAUUUGUUUCUUUAAUCAAAAUUUAAAUGUUUCGUAUUAUAUGAUUGGUGGAAUAGACGGUGGGGAGGGUGAGAUGCUGUUUUGGUGCUAUAUUUGGGUUUGACGCGUGAGGUAGCUUUCUCUUUUUUGGGUCUAAUCACAUGUACAUGUGUAGAUUAUUAUGGAGGAGGGAAGAAGCAAGUAGAAUCGCUUAAUUUAAACGUGUUUUUCAAAAGCAAGUUUGGUGAAGCACGAGUCCACAUUCGUAGCUUGUGAUUGCAAUCUCCUCCGGAAGCCAAAUUACUCCACAAUAAGCCAUUGCAAUCCAAUGUUGCAUCCUCGUGACUUUUUUGCUUAGACCAAAAGCGAUGGGAAAAAAAAGCCAAAUGCUGAAAAGGAGACAUUAGUGAAAAUGAUUAUGAGGCUAUGUCUAUCGUCAAUAGCUUGACUGAGUAUUAAUUUUCAGAAGCUGAGUCAUACCAAACACACCCUGCAUACUGGGUAAGAGCUUUAUGAGGAGUACUUGGACUAUAUAUCCUUGUUCAAAAACAAGAUUCGAGACCUAAAUUUGAAUCCUAAUUAAUUCACAUUUUCAGCUAAAUUUAUUUCUAAAUGAAAUAAACGAAGCGGGUAGCAUGCUAUCUAUCUCUCUCUCUCUCUCAAAAAAAAAAAAAAAAAAAAAGCUCCAAGUAUUUAUUUCACCAACUCUGGGGUGUUACAUGAAAAAGUGCAGAGUAAGAGAGAAGUGCAUGUACAUCUAUAUAUAUAGAUAUAAAAUUUUAUAUUUGUGAUAUCCUAAAAUUUACAAAAGAAAUUAAUAAAAAUUGCGUAUAAUUAUAAUUUGCAAAGAUUCUUUAAUUAGGGAUGUCGGUUUAUUGUCACUAAUAAAUGAAAAAAGUGUGGUGGAUAUUGUGUUGCAUAGCUCAAGUGAUCUUAGCACUUUCCCUCAUAUUUGGAUGGUUUAUUUAUUUAUUUAUUUUGUUAGGUAGGUAUGCGAAGUGAGUUGAAUUAUUGGCUUGUCCAAUACUUUACCAAUCUGCUGAUGUUUGGCAUCUAAAAUUGGAUUGACCUCAAUUACACGGAAGCGAGGAUGUAUUUCGAUAGUUUGGGACGUCAUUAUUUCCGGUAGUCAAGAUAGUGGGGGCUGGUUUUUACUCCGACGCACUUCAAACUUUUUUUGGGGCGAAAUUUGACAAUCCUACUCGAGCAAAAAUGUUUGAUCUGACUGAGUUGAUUGGUAUUGCAAUUUUUCCUGCUUUUCGUAUUCCUUAGUUGAUUAAUAUUGCUCUUGGAAUGUCACCUUUCUGUUUCAUUAUAUUCAAAUUAAUUUCUAAAUAUUGAACAAGUCCUUUUGUAGCUCCGCGGAUCAAUUUAGAACGCUUUUAUCCUCUGUAUAUGAAAGUUUGUAGGUAAUUUUAAUGAUCACUCCAUAAAUACUCUCGUAGAGGAUCUCACUAUCUAAACAUUAUACGAGAGAUCUCACCGUUAAGAAUUAUUCCAAAAAAAAAUAAUUUAAAUUAUUAUUAUAUUUUUAUUACUAAAACUGGUUUAUUUUGCUUCACAAUAGAAUUAAAAAAUCAUCACCGUAAGUGAUGGAACACCAUAACCAAUCUUUUCCACGAGUAUUAUGUACCACUGAAAAAUUUUAAAAUUUACUUAAUAUAUAUAAUAUUAAAUAUAUAUAUAUAUAUAUAUAUAUAUAUAUAUAAUUGGUUGCAUAAAACUAAUGUGGUGUGGUGACUGCUGAACACUUUCCCGCACAUGCGGCUCGGAAAAUGCCACGACUACACUUACUUAACGCCGACUUGAGAUCCACGUGGCGCGCCCGUACGCAACUUGCUCGCGGAUGAUUAGACACGCAUUACGCUCCGAUCGACGUUAGCUUUUUAUUUAUCGUCACACAAUUGUCGCACCAGGUAAUCGGACCACAGGGCAGCAAAUUCUUUUUUCUUUUUUUUCUUAAUGAAAAAUGUCCGUAGCUCCAUCAGCAUAAUAUGUAAUAAUAAUCAAAUAAUAAUUCCAAUCAACAACAACAGCUGCGAAGCCCACCACUACUGAAGAUGCCAAACCAAGUCAUCUGCUCGGUAGUGGCACAUGUACAAACAGUUGUGCUGCGCCGAGUAGACUCGUUGUAUUGACGAAUGCCGCACAAUUUUGCUGCGUGGGCCCUCUCCCUCUCAUCCAUCCUGCUGUUGCUGCAAAUAAAGCAUUCCUCGUAUAUAUCUAUAUAAACACAAAUAGUAAUUAGAUGUUGGCUUUGGAUUUGUUAGGAUACAAAAUGAAUAGCACCAAAAAACCGGUUGAGGAGAAAAGAAAUGUGUCGCUAGCUCCCCUUUCGAAGCUUUAUUAAUUAAUAUAUUAUUACAUGAGUGAUGGUAUUAUCGAGAGCGUCGAUACACUAAAAGCUUUUAAUAACAUCUUGUGAGAAAUAUAUAUAACGUAGCAGCAACUAACUAGGAUUGUUUUGAAUUAGGCCGUAGUGGGGCGAAUCAAAAUCAACCUUGGGCGACACACUCAUCCUCGUGAAAGUUGUGUGGGACAACGGAUAUCGUGAAACAAAAUUUAGGCCCAUAAACCCAGACCCCCCCCCCCCAAUAGGCCCAACCAAUAAAAGGAUAGUUGGGCCGAGAGCCCAAGUAUCAACACAGAAACAAAAAACAAAAAGAAACAAAGUAAUGUCGCUCGUAAGAGGCCUAGGUAACCCCACUUUAACGUAAUUUUGUUUCUUCUAUGAACUCAAAACAAUGAGGGCAGCUAUUGGACCUGCGAGGCAAAUAGAGCAAAAAAAAUUAGUACAAUUUUUGCAAUUAUUUUAUUUUUAUUUUUUGCAUUUUAAAUAUGAGUUUACAAGCUAAACACUCAAGCCAACGGAACACAAGUUCAUCCAUCGGCACCAUCCACUAUAGAAACAUACAAAGAAGUAACUAUAACAAAACAGGGACUUAGGUUUCCAAUUUUUCGCUAUUUAGAAAAGCAACAAAACUUUUAAAUCCUAGCUUCCACGGCAGUUGUGGUACUAAAUAGACAACGAACACACCAGAAACACAAACCAUGCAUUAACAAGGGGAAGUUAUGAUUGUGUAACAUGAAAUUGGAGAGUUAAACACGGCACGAAACAACAAAGUAUGCAACAAGAAAAAAUUAGCAAAUUGGCGAUUUAAUGAGCUACUGAGAAAUACCAAUCAUAUACUACCUGAAUCGACUCUUUUACAGAUAAUCCGAAACAAUGCCUUCAGCAACAAUUACCCCUUACACUGAAUUGAAUAAACAUAAUUUCUGAUGAUAUAUGCAUUUAGCAGCCUCUAUAUAUUCGAUCUAGACUGAACAUGUCUGGGUCCAUUUAUUUGAUUCUGCUUGAUGCCAGGCACUCAGGCAGAACGAUCAAGGCGUAGAGAAUAGCCGAAAGCAGAAAAUUUAAACGCCUAGUCUACUUACUAAAGUUUGCGUCUCAAAUAUAAUUUAAUUUACAAUGAAUGAAAGGCGAUGACAAUGUGCAAAAAUGUACAGAUUUACAAAGAGAGUACAAAAAAGUAACCAACAACUACAAUAUACUUUAUAAAUUCCAACAACAAAUAGAAUCAGAAGCGGAGCCUUGGAGCAAAAGGCCACGAAAUGAAAGGAUGUAAGUUACAAGAUUCAAAAUAAGAUAAAAUUAGUAAAAGCUGGAAAGCUAUAAGACUGAAUGCAGGCCAACUUCAUAACCAAAACCAGCAAAAAUUGAGAUAGUAGCAAUGUGCCAAAUUCCCAACACUUGUUAGAAUAUCGCAAUUCAGAAUGGCGUCGAAGUGAGGACAAAUAGACGCUGAAGUGGGAAAAGAAAGAUAAUUCCACAAGAUUGAAAAAACAGAGUCUAUUUGCGUGUUAGUAGGAAAGAGAAAAGCUGACAAUGGAGGCCUAGUUUCCAGAAAGGGGAAUCUGAAACAAAACGAUCCUUGAUGGAAUCUAUCAGGAGUCUCCUGGUUCUAUCGCCUGAGUCAAUUAUAGCAUCAAAAAACUGCCAACGCAAGGCUGAUUCUCAUCCUAACUAGCUUAUGGUCAAAUUGACCAACUCCCAUUCACAAUCACUAAUCAAUCAAUUAAAUAACAGAUGUAUUGUGAGCCAGUUCUAUACAGGCAAAUUCCUUCCAGGACAACCAAACAAAAUCCAAAAUUAUAACUACAAUCGGCUAAUAGAAAACUAACUUGAAUUCCAUCUUCAAAAUUUCCUCAAACUAUGCGGUCCUCAAAGGGGAAUAAUAAGUUGAGAGGACCAAUGCACAUGCAUAAGGGAGAUCAGAUGCCUUACACCACGUGCACAUGCACUGCCGGGAAAGAGAAUCAAAAGGGAAAGGACGGGAUUCAACCCAUCAAGAGUUAGUAUGGGGAAUUGAACUCAUGACCUUUCAGAAUUGAGUAAGAUUACAUGCGCGAUCUGAUCUCAUGCCAUCCCUCAAAUCAAUCUAAUAGGAAAUGGCCCAAGAGUAGCCUUAAUGGCUUUUGUACGGCUGCCCCAUUAAUGUUGUGGAUACUUGAUACCAAGGCAAUAGAAAAACUGAUAGCUUGCUAUUAUCUACAGUGAGUUUUAAAUAUGGCCAAGACAUCGAGUAAAGAAUAAAAAGAAUUGUCGUAGCAUAAGAAAUUUACGAACCUAACGAUGAUAUGCUAUAAUUUGAAUUGGUUCCUUUACAAGCAGGUAGUUCUACCCAAUUAGAUCAAAAGGAAGUUUUCUUCCACAGCAACACACAGGAAUCCACUUGAGCGGAAGAAAAGGCUUCAUCACAAACAAUAAACAGAUACUAUUACCUCCACAUGAUGGAUAUGAGAACACUAGUUCAAUUUCAAAUUCUCGUUGCUAAUUUGUAGAAUCAUUCACUCUGUAAACAAGGAUUACAUAUAGGCAUACAUAUUGGUCGCAGAAAAGUUACCCAACCCGGUUUUAGAAACUCUUAUGUUAUAUCAUACACCUAACACGGAACAGCAUAUCUGCAUAUAUCCAGCGCCUUACAGAUCCAUUUACAAAGUCAACGUUCUUACUUUCUUCACAAACAACAUCAGAUCUAUCAUAAAUGACAUCAAUAUGCUAAAUGAUUCUUUGAUAAUUGAUAGUCCCUAUUUACAAGUAAUUCAGAGACUAAUGUAAGAACGCAUAGAGGGAUACCAAAAACGAAGCCCUAGGGAAUCUUCAAGAAAGGAAGUGUAUACCUCCUAAGAAAGGUGUUAGCUCUUUGAAAUGGAGGAGCUCGGGGUCACGGCUCUCCCAACCUCGGGCUCGGCACCCCUGGCGACGACGGCAGCGGAAUCGCCGUCGACGUCGUCAUCUGGUACGCCGUCCGCGGCGACGGCACGCACCCGAAGCCCAACGGCGAGGUCGGAAGGGGGAUCGCCGGCACCGUCGCCGCCGGUGGCGCGCCGCCAUGGAGGCGGCGCAUGUACGCCGAGAUCGGCGACUCCGCCGCGGCGCUCACGGUGGGGAGGGGCGGGAGCGGCGAGAGGGGCCGCCACGCCCACGGAUCGGAGGGGGCCGGCGCGGGGGCGAGCGGCGCCGGGCGGGGCGCCAGGUGCGCCAGCGGCGGCGGCCGGAUCCGGUGGAGCCGCGAGGUCGGCACGGGCGCGGGCGCGGGUGCAGGCGCCGCCGGGCGGAUCUGGGGUUGCGCCGACGAGCCGGUGAGCUUCUGCACGACGUCGCGGAAGUCGCUCUUGUCGAUGUUGUACACGGGGGGCUGCGGCUGCUGCGGCGGAGGAGCGCCAACGACGCCGCUGCUCACGGCGGCCGCCGCCGGGGGCGGAGGCGGAGGAGGGGGGCGAACGGGGCUAGGGCUAGGGUUUCGGGACACGGGCUUGGAGAUCUUGUAGGAGGACUUGUUGAGGGCCCUCAGAGAGCUCUGUGCGGAGCUCCCACUACUGCUACUAAGGAUACUAACAGCAGCAGUAGUAGUUGUAGUUGUGGGAUUAGAAGGAUCAUCUGUAGCGGAGUGCGGAGCCGACGCGGAGUCGGAGGAUGAGGAGGAGAUAAAGUAACUGGGGAAGGAUUGGUCUCAGAGGAAUGAGAGGCUUUUUCCUUCAUCUCUCUCUCCCCUCCCGCCCCCCCUCUCUCUCUCUCUCUCUCUCGGUUCCUGUUGCUUUGUUAAGGCCCAAAGAAGAAAUCAGAAUAGAGAGAUGGAUAAUAAAUAUAUAAUAUAUACUAUAUAUAUCUAUAUAUAUAUAUAUAUAAUAUAGUAGUAUAUAUCUUGGAUUACAUUACACAUGCUUCAAUCUAUUUCUGUGGUGGAAGGGAGAGAGAGAGAGAGAGAGAUUGUUUUGAGUAUGUUUUAGAGGGGACUAAUGGUGGGGUUAUGACUAAUGACUGCUGACAUUGCCUGCACCCAGUGCUUUGUAUACCUGGGCAGAGUGAGAAAGUCUAUUCCAAUUAUUAUGUAGAACACUUAAAACUCCUGUUUGAUAUGGGGCUCAUUCCAAAAGUACUAUAAUAUUCUCGACAUGAAUGCUAUAAUUAUUUUAUUUGUCAUUUAUGCCAUCACAUACUUUUAAUACGAUCAUCCUCUAGUUGCAAUCUUUUUCUUAUUCAUAAGUGGAAAGGUUGGAUUGUGGGCACAUUUGGGUUGCUACAGGGAUGUGUGGUGCACGAAAUAUACAGUGCACCUGAUGUAAGCAAUGAAUUUUGCGUGUUUGGAUUGCUUUUGAGAAUUAAGCCAUAUCAGUGCUUAAUGUAGUGGGCUUUUCAUGUCAGGAAUAGUCAAAAUAUUCAAAAAAAAAAACCUUUCACUUCAGAUGGUGAUUGGCACUAAUGACUAGAAGACCCUUUCAAUACUUUCCAAAUUUUGUACAAGGGAUUUGGAUAAGGAGGAAAAAAAAAAGCCCAUUUGUAUAAAGAAUUUACUGGUUUGUAUUUUUUUAUAAAAGUAAGUUUUUUUUCCGAUUUUGUAAAAAAAAGUCAAUUUUUAAUAAAUUAAUUAAAAUAUUUUUAUUUUUUUCCCUCCUUUCUCUUUUUUUUCUUUUUGCCUCUCUCCUCUCUUUUUUCUCCUGCUUCAUCUCUCUCCUCUUCUUUCACUUCCUCACAUUGACGCGACACUUUUCUCUCAUAUUUUGCUCACAUCUUCACUGACGCCAAUGAUGAUGACGUAGGCGAGGGCAGUUGCUACGACAAAGGGUGAAUGAGAGGGUGCGAUAGCGAAAAUGAAUAGGGAAGGUGAAAAAAAAAAAUGAGGAAGAAAAAAUACAAAGAAAAAAGAAAGAAAAAAAAACAUUUUUUCUCUCUCGAAAAGACCAUCAUCUUUUGUAGCCGAUAUAGUAAAACUAUAAAAUAUAAAAAAAAAAAAAUUAUAUUGUUUGAAAUAAAAUUAUAUCAUUUAAAAUUAUUUAAGAUUAAGUUGUACUAUAUAAAAUAAAAGUUAUACUGUUUGAGAAUAAGUUGCACUAUUUAAAAAGUCAUAACUUAAUUUCAAAUAGUACAAAAUGGUUACAUGCGAAAACACACUUAUAUAUUCCGUUUUGCAUUUGUAGUAUGUAUUGAUCUUUCAAACUUUGAUUUUCAUACAUAUUUUACAUGUACAUAUAUAUAUAUAUAUACUUAUUUACGUUUGUACAUCUCAAAACUGAAAAUACGAUUUAGGUCUAAAUCAGCACAGCUGCGCUUCACAUAAAAGCUCAAGUAUGUGGAAAUCUAUGUUGGGCCCGCUCGAGAGCAAGAGUGGCCCGGCCCAUUUGCGCAGUGACCAAAUGGUGCCUCCGUGGCACAGGAUUAAAACACUAAACACCAUUAAUUAUGUAGUAGUAUUAUUAUAAAAUAAAAUAAUUUAGAAAUCAAAAGGUAAUUUUCGUUUCACAAGAAUAUUACCAUAUUCGAUGGAAUUUUCUAUCAGUCCAAAACACGCACAUUGUACAAAAGAAAACAAUUGAACGAAUAUUCUUAGUAGGUGUAAGGAUAUGUAAAGUUUAAUUUAUAUAAAUAUAUAAUUCUUUGCUUAUCAGUUAUCACUCGUGAAAAUAUUGCUAUAUGGUGUGAAAGGGACGUGUUAACCACUCUUGAGGAGUGGGAGAUUAAUCCAAGGAGCAUAACUUGUUCCUCCUACAAAUUCUCAUCUAUUAAAAAAUAAUUGAUACUUUGAAUAAAUUCGGUGUGGCUUAUAGCUAAUCAAAUUGGUAGGUAAUACCCACUAUCGCAAAUCUAAUUAUUUAUUUUUAUCUUUUUAAUUAUACUAUAUUUAUAAUUUUAAGUAAUUAAGAAAAAUACUAACCGUUUAUUUACUUACUUGUAAGGUGUUAAUGUACAAUCCUUCCGUAUAAAAUUUAUAAAAAUCUAAAUUAGAUUUUAGUUUAAAAAAUUAGGGCAAGCUUCAAAUACCAUUCUUGUUGUUUCGUGUUUUCUCAAUUUAACAUUUUAUAGUUUAAAAUGUAUCAGUUUAAUAUUAUAUAAUUUUAUUUUUCUCUUUCUGUCAGAAUCUCUGUUAAUUCUCUAUUAAAUUAUAUACAUUGUUUAUAGAAUAUUCACUUUAGUAUUAUGUAAUUUAUCGAAUAUUUAUUUUAGUACCAUGUGGUUUUAAUUUUAUUACUGAUUUAAUAAAAAAUUAACGAAAAAGAUAACAAAAAUAAAAAAAUAAAAUUAUAGAAUAAUAAAAUGAUGCAUUUUAAAGUACAGAGUAUUAAAAUGAAUAAGUGCGUAACCACAACAGUGAUAUUUGAAGUAUUUUCAAAAAAAUUAAUAAGAUAAGCGGAAAGUAAGAAUCUUUAGAGGAUGGAAAGUAAGAUGGAUAAUUAAUCUAAAAAUGUGUAUCUGGCAUUGCUUGUUAAUAAAACAUCAUAAAAGUUAUCCAAAGCAUUAAUUAGGUUGACGCACACAUUGACAAAAAGGCUUGAGGCCUCCCCCAUUCCACACACCCCAUCCCAUCUCCACAAAUUAAGUGAAUAUCUCAGAGCCACAGAAGCGCUUCCUCAGCAAUCUCCCACCCUAUUAUGAGUAUGGAGAACAAAAUCCCAAAGCCCAUCCGGUGCAAAGGUACGUAUACGUACGUAUACAUAUAUGUAUAGCAUAAAUACAUGAACGUAUACUUCUCUUUUGAUCUCCUCCUUAUGAUUAUGACCGAGUGUGUGCGUGUGCGCGCGCGUGCGUGGACGCCCCGGCGGUGCGCGACGGAGCAGCGGCGGUGUGCAGAGGCCCCGGGGAGGCGCUGCGGAUCGAGGAGGUGGUGGUGGCUCCGCCGGAGGACCACGAGGUCCGCAUAAAGAUCCUAUGCACCUCCCUCUGCCACAGCGACCUCACCUUUUGGCGCAUGAAGGUACGUGCGUACGCACGCAUAUAUUAUGCGUUUUUCUUGGUUAUGCAUGUUCCCCUGAAUAUUCCUCAUCAUCGGACGGUCGUGAUCUCAUCACACAAUCUCCCCCAGGAUUUCCCCGGCAUCUUCCCCAGAAUCUUCGGCCACGAGGCCGUCGGGUACUACUACUACAUCGCCUCUCUCUCUCUCUCUCUCUCUUUCUUUUUUUAUUUCUUUUAUUGUUGUAUUAUUAGUCCUCAACUCGUAGUUUAGUUUCAUCGUGAUUCUUAAUCUUUUAAAUUCGUACCGUAGUAUCAAUUCCGGUGCCCUCCAUAUCGCAGCAAAAUAUAUAAUCGGUGAAUUACAAAUAGGAAACGUGAUAAAGGACUUUGGAUGUGAGGCGUAUACAAGUACGGAGCUAUAUUUUUUUAAAGCGGAUGUUCGGUAUAUAAAUUUUAAUAAACAAAUUAAAGUUAAAACGACAAAGGUAAAAUUCGAGAAGUUGAGGGACUGGCAGCGCAAUUUAUGCAAAUCCCGGCGAUUUGGACACGGCGGUCGAGAAGGACCGUCCGAUGGUGAUCCGGGAGCUGUGAUCCACGAUAAAAUGUGCAGGGUGGUGGAGAGCGUGGGGGGACACGUGGAGCGCCUGGAGGCGGGGGACAUGGUGGUCCCCACCUUCCUCGGGCAGUGCGACGCCACCGAGGACGCUUGCGUGGACUGCCGCUCGGAGCGAAGCAACAUGUGCUCGAAGCUCCCGUUCACGGUGACGCCGGGGAUGCCGAGGAGCCACGGCGGCGCCGCCUCCAGGUUCACGGACGCGGCGGGGCGGCCGGUGCACCACUUCCUGAACGUGUCGAGCUUCAGCGAGUACACCGUGGUGGACGCCGCCCACGUCGUCAGGGUGGACCCCACCGUCCCGCCGGAGAAGGCCUGCCUCCUCAGCUGCGGCGCCUCCACAGGUGCCAGAUCUCCUCAAUACCAAAUUAUAAGUCUGUUUGAUCGCACUUUUACUAAAUCAGUAAUCACUAUUGCGUGCAACAAUUAUAUAAACCAAAGUUGCUAAUUUAACUUUUAAAAAUAAUAUAAAAUAUAACCAAAAGGUAAAGGUUUUCUGUUUGUCCUACAUUUUGUGAUCAAUUUCAACUUAGUUGAGAUUGUGAUGGAUUGUGAUGGUUUUUAAUCUAAUAUCAGGAGUUGGUGCUGCGGGAAAGGUGGCCGGGGUCGAGGCAGGGUCCACCGUAGCAAUCUUCGGAUUAGGGGCCGUUGGAUUAGCGGUAACACAAAUAUAAAACACCUAAAUUUUUUUGCAUUAUUUAUAGGCACCUGUCAAUUGAUGAAUCACAAUGUAUACUUUUCAAAUUUCUAUAUUAACCAUCUAUAAUUUUUAAAUUUUAUCUAAUUUAGUUGUGGUCGAGAGUUUGUUGACUAAUCAACAGGUUUUGAAAUUUUGGGACCAUUGUAUACACACUGUCAUGAAAGUGAGAGAGGCCUUGUGGAGUACAAGCCAUUUUGAAUCAGACCAAAAAAUUUUAUAUUUUUAGUUAGCAGUCUUUUUCACAUUGUUUGGAUUGGAUACAAGAGGGGGAUAAGACUCUUAUCCCCCUCUUGUAUCUAAACACAAAGUUGGAUGGGUGAGAAUUAUUGUUCCCACCCAUACCGAAACUUUCCCACCCCUUCUUCCCUAGCUAGAGGGAGAGAAUUUUAUUUUAAAUUAUAAUUUAACUUUUUAAAAUUUAAAAUUUGUAAUCUCAAAAGUAGGAUUUAUAAUUUUAAAUUUUAAAUUUUAAAUUUUAAAUUUUUAAAUUUUAAAUUUGAUAUUUUAUAUCUUUCAAAUUUAAAUUUGGUCUUAAAUUUAAAAUUAAAAGUUUUUAAAAUUUAAAUUUUGAAAUUUAAAAUUUUAAAUUUAAAAGUUAAAAAUUUAAAUUUAAAAUUAUAAAUUUUAAAUUUAAAAAUUUAAAUUUAAAUAUAAUGAGAGGUCAGAGGGAUAAUACCAUUAUUUUCUAUUUAUAACUAUUAACUAUUCUUCUUAUUCAAUCUUAUUCAUUCAAACGCUAUUUUUUUUAUUUUUUUAAAAAAAUUAAGUUUUCAUCCAAACACAAAAUUAAUCUAGCUCUCGUUUAUACCUAAACUUAUACAUAUCCCUCAUAUAAGCUAUUUCCUACUUAUAUCCGAACCAAACAAAGCUUUUAAUUUGGUAAGCCUAUUGAUGAUGCUGUGGGAGUCGUUUUCAUGGACUCACGGGUCCAUUCUAGAAAUUGGUUUGGGAUCGCAUGCCUUAUUAUUGUAGUAUCCCGGACUUAAAAAAUUUAAAAUGUAUUUUCUAAAUAUAUAUUAUGUAAGGAGGAUAUGAUCUGACAAAUAGUACCGUAUGAUGAUGGGUGAGUACUCUUUUUAGGAAAAACAUCAUGUUAAAACUUUUUUCUGAAUAGAAGCAGGCAUCAAAUUUGAUCUAUUAUUUUUUGAACUCAAUAGUUUUAUUCUAACUUUCUACUGCAAUAAAAAUUUUAAUAUAUUUUGUUAAAUAUUUUAUUAAAGAUAACUGUAAGUAAAGUAGAGACAAAAGAGAGUCAAAUAUAUCUGAUUUAGCAGGUGGCUGAAGGUGCGAGAAUUCGCGGGGCCUCGAGGAUUAUUGGCGUUGAUUUGAACCCUGAUAAGUUCGAGCUCGGUAUGCAAGUUUCCCCCUUCAACUUGGUUAUUAUUGACACAUCUAGAAAACAAAAUAGUAUAUAUAUAUUGUUAAACAAAAAUUCCCAUACAAUUUUGAAGCUUUUUAAUAUGAAAUUAAAUAUGUAUUGCAAUAUUGUUUAGGAAUGGAACUUUAAAGAAAACAGCAAAGCAUAUAAUCUUUUUCUCAAAAAGAAAAGAAAGUAUAUUUAUUGCUAGCCUUUCAGUAUAAGCAUUGUUGAUAAGUCAGUAAUCCUUGUAGAACAUCUCAAUUAUUUGAAUUCUGCCACAGUUUCUUCGUUAAUCUUUUGAGACCUAUAAACACGGAUCGACUCAUCAACAGCAUUUGAGGAAAUUGUUUAAGUUAGCAAUACUGUAGUUAAAAGAUUUAGUUAUUGUUAUUCUCUCUUAUCUUACAGGGAAGAAGUUUGGGUUAACAGAUUUCAUAAAUCCAAAAGAACUUGGUGACAGAUCCAUCAAUGAGGUUACUAUCCACAAACACCUUGUACCUUGCAGUUAGGGUGUGCUAAUCAAUUUUAAUUUCAAUGAUAAUGAGUGUUUUUUUUUCCUUUUUUUUUUUUUAUGUUCUUACUAUUUGUUCGCUUUUCACUCUAUCAGGUGAUCAUCGAGAUGACGAAUGGCGGCGCUGACUAUUGCUUUGAGUGCAUCGGUUUAGCAUCAGUGAUGAAAGAUGCAUUUCAAAGCUCUCGGCAGGUCUCUUUAAGAUAACUAAACACAUCGAAUUCGGAAGUUGUUAGCACAUUCAUCAUGUUCUAAUGUUUACGUUGAUAUUUUAGGACCUUUUAAAGCAUCAAAACCAUUAUGUUUGAAGUGCUUAUUCGCAAACUAGGCUCUAGUCUUAAAUCUUAAAAGGAGCUUUUUCAUUUUCCUCCUGCGGGUGCAGGGUUGGGGCAAAACUAUCAUUCUAGGCGUGGAAAUGCACGGUGCACCAUUAUGCGUCGCAGCAGGUGAGAUCUUAUGGGGUAAAUGCAUCAUGGGUUCGUUAUUCGGAGGCAUCAAACCAAAGAUCGACAUUCCGAUCUUUGUAAAACAGUAUCUCAAUAAGGUGCGUUUAAUGUGCAUUGUUAGCUUCCUCAAUUUUCACAAUGAAUUCGUUAAGCACAACUACAUUACAAAAUGUACUGUGAAUUACCUUAACCUUCAGUCUAUAAAGAACGCAUCCUUAGCUAGUCGUAUGAAGAUUGGCGUAUCUAUUGAUAUCUUGUUUUGCUUUGCGAGUUUGCAGGAACUGCAGUUGGAUGAGUUCAUAACCCAUGAGAUCGGAUUCGAAGACAUUAACAAAGCAUUUGAUUUACUUGUGGAGGGGAAGAGUCUCAGAUGCACAAUUUGGAUGGACAAAUAAGGGAACAAGAGACUUCAUUUUAAGUUCAUGUUUGCGCACAUUUGUAUCCUCCUUUUCCUUUGUAUAAGAACAAAUUACAAAUGGUUGAUUAUGAAGAUGGAACCAGAAUUGUACCAUGAUAAUAUUGUUCAUCAAAGCUGUGUAUGACCUGCAUAACUGAGUAAGCAAGAAAUGGGCACAGAAAUUUUAUUGUCCCAUAAAGGAUGCAGAGGGAAUUCGUAGUAUUUGUGUUUACAGAGUCAUAAUUUAUGUUAGAAAAAAAAAAAGAAGCAGCAAGAAUCCAAAAUUCUCAUUCGAGCAGCAAAAUUGAUAAGAAUACAAACAGGUUUUCCUGACACAAAUAAUAUGUGAAUCUCGGCCUGCUGCGUGGUGUACCCCGCAUUGCAUGAAAUGCAUCCGCACGGUCGGUCUCCAAACCUUGUAACUUUCUCGCAAUUCCUUUAUUUGAAUUUGAUAGCUGAUAGACUCUACCCGUAAAAGCACAUAUCUUCUGCAGUCAUUCUACAAUUCGGAGGAAUCUCGUGCGACAGCCGCUACGAUCAAAUGACAUGUAAAGAUAGUAGCUUGAAAAAGCGCAGUAUUUCGUGUCAAACAAGUUGAAAUCAUAUCAACCACCUCGGUUAGCUGGUAUUUACGCAGUGGUAAUUAACUAGAGAGCCACUCCAUUUCCUUGAGAUCUCUGCUGACAUAGGCAAUCAGGAAGAGGAUUCUCAUAAAAAGCUUCUUCCGAUCGAAACCGUUCCAUGCCCUUCGUUCCAGAAAGCGGGCCCUUUCUCUUUCGGGGCGAUCCUUGCCUGUCGAAUCAGUAUUUUAAAAAAAUAACAUAUUAGACACCAAAUUAGAGAGAAAGUGAAAUUCCAUUUUGUCCCGUAUUCGUCCCAUACCGUCUUCUGUGAAUUUCCUGUAUCAUGUUUGAAAGCUUCUUCCCUUCCUUCAGGGAACCACGCGCGACUUUAUCAAACAAGCGUACUAGUGCUUUCCUGCCAAUUGAAAUGUGAACUAAGGUUUGAGCAAUAAUUGUUUCAAAAACUUUUUCAGAACUGAUCGAUAAAAACAAACACGGUUAUUUUCUCCUUUACCGGUCGGGAGUAAUUGUUUUCCUAUGACCAAGAUAACGGCGGUGACCUUCAACCGCCCUCGCCAUGUUGCCUGAAUAGGAGGGGAUAAAUACAUCGCUUUCUACUGAUACGAUGUAGUCUAAAGCGGCCAUUUGUGAUGCAUGAUGAGUGAAGGGUUCGAGCUCCUCUGCCGAUGCCAAUUUCUCCUGCAAACGAUUUCAUCUUUCUUUCAUUAGCGGGCUUGCAAAAAACACUAAAAAGAACUUUCAAGUGGAGGUUAUAUGGAGAAUUAGAGGGGGGGGGGAGGAAAAAAGAAGCAUCAGAACAGAUUUACUGUUAGAGCAGAACUGGUAACAGCAACUAUUACACUAAAUGAUAUACACCUAAUGACUCUAAAGAUGCUCAUGAAAAUACUAUUUAGCAUGUACCUUGCUCAUUAAAGUAGGAAACCGGGAUGCGAGUUCGGCCAUAUGAGAGUCUCCACCAUAUAUCUCCCCUGCCGCAAUAUAAAUUGGAGUACUCGACGGAUAUCCUAGAGAUGAAAGAAAAAUCCCAACUUCCUUCGGAGUCAAGGGGCAGUGGCCCUUCGCCCUUUGAUCUAGUGAAUCGAUGUCCUUCACCUUCCAGUAGGUAGUAUCCUCUCUAUGGAGUGUAGAGUAACAAAAACUUACAAAACUUUAUGAAUUCAUUUCGAAAUAGAAAUUAACUUUUACUUCAAGAAUUUGGCUAAAAGCUCACACCUAAUCCUUGUUAGUUCAUCCACUUCAGCAGGAGAUAAGCCAUAUGUGCACCCGCUGAACGCAAGCAUGUCCUUCUCAUACCGCAAAUGCAAAGCGAUAUAGGGACCGUACGACCUCAUUCUUUCUACUAAUAACUGCAUAAAACAAUCACCGUCCAACAUUAAUAAUGAUCAAUGCAGCAAAGUACUGGUGCCAUGGCAAAGUGUGAAUGAAAGAGGAGCUUAACAAUGGUGUCCCUCUUCAGUUGGUAGCACUGUUACAUGGAACUUACUACGGGGGCUAAACUGUUAAAUUUGAAACUCUAAGAAAGUAGUAGAAAUACAGAUAAAAUUUCAAGGACUAAAUAUAUAAUUAACCAAAGAAAGAAUAAUGAAGCAGGACCUACUUUUCCUAGAGCCUCUAUUUUGGGGGCAAAAUGAAGUGCCCCGUAAAAGGCACGACAACGAAGCUUCUGAAUGUCAGGGGGAAGGUUAUUGUUAGCAAGUCGCGAAUCAGCUUUAGCAGCUCGAAUGACCUGGUAGGAAGAGAUUUUGCCACAAGGAAGUACAUGUUAGACAACUCGAGUCCUCGAGGAAGGAUACAAAAUGGAGCACAAUAGCCAUGAGACCUUUUACCUUAUACUCAUCCCACAACCGAUAUAUCUCAUCUUGGUAGUAUGCAACACCAGACCAACUCCUAAAAUGUAUUCGUACUUUGGUAGUAGGUGCCAACUCCUUCGGCACCUUUUUAACAAUUUUCGCGUCAUUCGACAGGGACUGAAUAAAAUGGUCUUCAUCAAAAACAUCAGAGAAAUUGCUGCAAAUAUUAAUCUCAUCACUACUAGAAGGAUUUUAUAUUAUACAUAAAACUCGGUAUGAAUUCAUUUUUGUACCUAGAAUCUUGCCAAAAUGAUCUCUUGUCGAGUUUUGGAAUAACAAGUGUUGCAUUAAUCAGACGGGCAACGGCCACCAUGUCAGAUAUCUGAGAUUAAGAUGAAAAGAAUAGAUUAUAAAGAAAAGGGAGACAAAAUAUGAUUUAUAUUAAAGGAACUUCAAAAAGCAGGUUAACAGCAUUAGCCAAUGAGAUGCAUGACAUUAGUAGAAGUUUGCUUCUUUCUCUUUUGUGAUGUUUCAACAAUUUUUUCCUCAUAAGUAGCUAAACUAAUUUCCCACAGUAACCAAUGUAUAAAACUACUCACCCCAGCGCGCAUCUGGUUUAGCCCGCCAUUGGUGUAAACUACCAAGUAACCUCUCGACUCUGAAGGAGCUGGAGAAUAGCAUACAUGAAGAAAGAAGAACAAAAUUGUCACAAGGCACUAUGGUAGAAGUUAGAAAAGAGAUGCGAAGCAUUGAUGAGCGUGAAUUCCUCUUACGCAAAUAAUUUGAAGUUGGAGCCACACAGGGCGCGAAAUCCCGGUUCGACGGAGACUUCCAGAGCUUCGACAACUCCAAAACCGUGGCCUCGCUAUUCAACUGUCAAUUCUAGGAGAGUGAAAAAAUGACAUGAAGAAAAGUAUAAUGACUGUUCGGUAUCUGUCAACAUCGCAAUUCCACAAAAAUAUAAGGAUUUAUCCAAAAGGCUCAAGUAGACUACACUGCACUGAACUUUACACGCGCUUUCACACACUACAUGUGCAACACCAGCUAUCAUUUUUACAAUCGUAAGAAGUUAAAACACUCCCAAAUUACGGUGUACCAAAGCACAGUAACAAGUGAAAAAAGUUGGAACUUUGUACAGUAAGAAACUACAUUUAAGGUAGCAAGAUGUGUAAUUGGCAUUGAAGAGCUUUGAGGGAUCGAAUGUUGGACCACCUUUUUGGCGGAAGAGGACAGUUUGGAGAGUUGGGGCGGCGCGAACUCCUGCGUCCACCGCAGCUCGCCGCUCCACCGCCACCGCCCCCGGCGCCCGAUCCCGUUUUGUUGCUACAUUGAAAAGAACCAAUUUUUAAUAUCUUCGCUGCACAAUCUACAAAUUCUUCAAAAAAUGUGAGCUAGAUAAAAAUGUCUCCUUUAAAUAAAAAAUGCCUCCUUUAAAUAGAAAAAAAAUGAUACUAAGAAACGAUUUAAGGGACGAAUAUGGCGAUGAAGGGGAGUUGUCCCUUGAGGAGCUUGAGAUCAAAUUUACACCAACAAGCUAAAUAAAAAAUGUCUCCUUUUAAGUCAAAAAAUGCCUCCUUUGAAUAAAAAAUGUUGCUAAGAGACGAGUAUGGGGAUGGGGGGGGGAGUUGUACCUCGCGGAGCUUGAGAGCGCCGGAGAUGGAGGGAACGCCGGAGGAGGGGAACACGUGUACGGCGAGGAGCGCCCCAAGGGCUAUGGCGCCCGUGGCGCACGUUAGCAUCCACCGCAGGAGGGAUACGCCUCUCGCCCUUAACCUGCGCCUCUGCAUCUCCCAAUAUCUCCUCUCUCUCUCUCUCUCUCUCUCUCUCUCUCUCUCUCUUCUUCUUCUUCUUCUUCUUCUUCUUCUUUUCCUCUCUCUCGUGCUUUACUUUUGUUUAAAAACUUUUUAUUCGUGUAGAGUGAAUGAGAAGAGGAACGUUUCGUUCACUUUUAAGUUUUCGCACUGGAAAGAUAAAGAGGAGGUGGGGGGACGAGCGGUGAGAGUAAAUGACAAAUUAAUAAAUAAGAUGUAUAUAAUAUCUAAACUUUUAUGUCCACGAGUUAUAACUUUUAAAAAUUCAUACUCGGUGGUUGUUCAAAUAAUUUUAAAAAACAAUAAAAACAUUUAAAAAAUUAAACAAAUUUUAAAAAUUUAGCGUAUAAAAUAUAUGCAUACAACAUGUGCAGGUAAUAAUUCCUCCAGAUUAAAAACUGUGACACAGGAUCAUCAUUUCUGAAGCCAACACCCUGUUUCUCACUUUAUCAUCAUCCCUGUUCUUCCCAAUACACUCCUCCCUGCUCCGUGCUAACACUUCAUCAGAGCAUUUUGGUUUCUUCUUUCUAUUUUUUAAUUCUCAAAAUAUAAUCCUUUCCCAAAAAAAGAAAGAAAGAAUUUAAUUUAUCGCAAAAGAUUAGUUUUAUUUUAUUUUGUCAUUCUGUCGUGCUUCAUACAAAAAAAAAAUUUUACUUUGUAUAAAUCUUAAAACACGUUCGGAUAAAUUCAACAAUAAUAGGUCUCAAAUUGGCGCACCCAAAUUUUUUUUGUUUGCUACUUAAUAUGGUCCCGUAUCAUAUGAGGAGAUAAGUUAAUGAUCUAUCCCCUUACUUGUAAUGUAGCUAACACCUAGGCUGUAAUUGAUAAAGAGAGGUGCGUGUAUGUAUCCAUAUUUUAUUGGACCAUGCAGAAUACAAGGGUGUAGGUACUCGGUGUGGGUUAAUAUAAUUCGAUUGAUUUGGAGUUUAAUUAGUUUUAUUUAUUAUUUUUAUCUCCCUCUAGGGGCUAGAAACUAUGAUCUACCUGCUUCUCGUAUAAAAUUUUCAUAUGAAAAAGUUAAAAAUUAAUGUAUAUGAUUAUGAUUAUUAUAAAAUUAAAGUAUAAUCUAUAGCUAUACAUUAUUCUCUCUAAAUUUGUCACGUAACAAUGUUCCUUUUUUGUUGGGUGUGGGCUUCAUUCCAAACAGAUUCAAAUUCUUCGUAUAUUUUUUUCUUUCUUUUAUUUGAACGAAUCAGAUUUUUCUCUUUUUUUACUUGAACUGAAAUCAAUCACUGUUGAGUGUGAGUUUUUUUGAACCAACUCAGAUUCUCAACAUAUUUUUCUAUUUAUUUACUUGAACUAAAUUGAUUUUUUUUUUUUCGCUUGAACCGAUUCAAGUCACAUUUUUGUAUUGGGCUGAACUGUUCCUCUUCUGCUUCCUUCGAUUGUUACCUUCCUUCAUCAACAAAAUAAAUUUUAUUUUUUAUCGUUGCUUUUUCUAUCAUUAUUUUUUAUUUAUUUUAAUUAUCUAUUCGUCGUAUCGUACAGAUUAUUACACUAGUACAGCACGAUUAAUUUAUAACUUGAGAAAUAUAUAUGCGGUUCAAUUCCAUUUUAAUUUGUUCGCUAAGAUGAUCGGAUUUCUAAUCUCUUAAUUAGGAUUGUAGUUCGAAAUAAUAAUUAAUAACCAUUAAAUAAACUUAAAUAGUUGAUAUUAUUGUGGAGGGUACAGAGAAUCUUAUGUGUGGGUCAAGAUGUUCAAACUACAGCUGUAAAUGUGAGUAACCACAUUCCUCAAAGUAGACCUAAUUGCACGAAACAAUUGUACUUUGUUUAAAGCCUCUGACAUUUAUUUUUUGUUUUUGUUUGAGCAUUUGUCUCAUCUCACAUUUGUUUUUUUUUUUAUAUAUACUCAAUACUUUAGAUAUCUUUUUUUACAGUUUUAAAAAUACAGUUUUUGUAUGAACAAAACAGAAUAUUUUUAUUGUAAAUAAAAAGGGUGUCGUGCUUCUGUACAAAAAAGUAAAAAAAAAAAAAAAAGCAAAUUGGUGAAAUAAAGUAGUUUUGUGUUCCUAUAAAUAGUGUAUAAAUGCCGUAUUUCGAAAUAGAGUAACGCAGUAUUAGGAUUUAACGAAGUAAAAAUAAUAAAAAUUAAAAAAUAAAUACUAUCUAAAAAUUGUAACAAUUUAAGUGUAAAAACGAACUUAGCGGUCCACGAGCAGCCCAAAACGGCCCAAAAAGAGAUUGUGGGCUCCGAGCCCUCCGACCCGGCCCGGUUAAGGAUCAUUUUGUGUUCCCGGCGAGCCCAGUUAUGCGCCGUGCUGGGCCUUGAACCUAAGGAAAUUGAGAAAUUUUUCUUCAAAUAAGCUUAUAUGCACCCGAAUUUUUUUUUUUUUUUUUUUUUUGAGAUAGAUAGCACGCUACGCGCUUUGUUUAUUUUAUUUAGAAAUAAACUUAGAUGAAAAUGUGAAUCAACUAGGAUUCGAACUUGGGUCUCGUGUAUCAACCACCAAACCCUUUGCCACUUGCUCUAUAGAUGGUCGGUUAUGCACCCCAAUUUGGAAUUGAGACUGAAGAGGAUUAAAAUAGAUUUCAUUCAUGUUGUUUGCGAAAAGCAGAAGCCCUUUUCUUUUCUUUUGCGGAAUGGGAAAAUCUAAAACCUUUGUGCGUUAAUGAUAAUGAGAUUUGCAGCAUAGUUGAAUUAAUCUUCUAAAUUUUUAAGAGAAGUUUAACCAGAAGCUUCUCUGAAGUCUGAACAGCUAUUCAAUACAGCACUUCAGCAGAAGCUCUGGCGUGGUCCAAACAAGCCCAUGAUUAUCCGGUGGAUCGACUUUCCACAUCACAACUUUGGUCAAAAGUCUCAUCAAUCUAACAUCCCUAACAGUUGCUUUAAUUUUUAAAUUGUCAUUAAUUCUUUUGAACAUGCCUAUAACGCACUCUUGUUAAAUUAUUGUAAUAAUAAUAGGGCAAAGUGUUGGCACGCACGAUCAUCCAUCAAAUGUGGUGGUCAAAUUCGUUUAAGAAGCAACAUCGUGGGAUGAUUAAUUAAUCUUGUAGAUUUAUGUUUAUUUGAGUUAAUAUUGUCUUUAAUUAUACUUCUAUCAGAUAUUUUGAAUAUGGAGGUUAAUUACUUAAUUAAUAAUAUCAUGUGCCAUUUUCCAUUGAGUUGAUGCUUGGAAUAUCAAUAGUAAAUCAUUAGGAAACUUAUAAAAUGUGCAUUAAAUUAAUCUUCUGGAGACAAUUAUGUAUGUGGCGUAUAUACGCAUACAAAGCUAUUAUAAUAUAAUUAAGGAAAUUUCCACUAACAAAAUUAAGUUAGAUUUCUAAUGGCCACAAGUUUGUUAGACGAGGUGAUAGGCAAAUGAUUCUCUUUACCCUUCAUAUUCAAUUACACAUACAAUUACUUAGAUUCGAUCUCAAUACAAUUACAAAGCAAUUACAUCUCUUCAUGCUCUACAUAGAAAAUCUCAGCAACCACAAGAACUCUUUUUAGCUAGGUAAAAAUGUGUAAAAAAUCCCCUCAACUAUAGAUCUUUCCGAAACUAUGGGGGUUGAGACUUUAUCAACUUUCCAUUCUUAAUCAUAAUUCAAAUUGCUUCCACCAAUUUUAUUGAAGAUUUUGUUCAAUAUUUUUGACAGAAACUUUGAUAAAUUAACUGUUUUGAAUGUAUUUUUACCUCAUGGAAUUGUAGAUAUAUAUUAUAAAAAGCGGGUGAACAGUUGAUAACUAAUAGAGUCAUUACAGUUAACAAAUUUUCGACUGAAUUUAGGAAAUUAAAAACUCUAAUCAAAACCAUGGAAAGUUGAUAAAAUUUCAAUCGAAAGUAACCAAAAAAAAAGAAAAAAAAAGGGCCUAUUAAUUUUAAGGUUGCCUACAAUUGAGAGGUCUCCAUACAUGCAACAAUUCCUAUAUAUCUAUCCUAAAUUAACCACUAUAUAUAUAUAUGUAUAUACAUGAUACUUUUGUUCUCAUUACUUCCCAUAUGUAUACAAAUGGAAACAAAUUACUGCAUGAAGAAUUCAAUAAGUUUAAAACCAUACCCACUUUGAAGAAGGCUUCUCCUUCAUGGUCUUGGAAUGAAACAACUGAUCACCAUCCACCUGCUUCCUCCUCCUCUCUGAUCCAACAAUAAGCUUAGACAGAAACCUCCCCACCUUCUUCUUGUUCUUGCUCUUCUUGUCCUUGUUCUUAUUCUUAUUACUCUUUUUAUCCCUGUCCAUGUUCUCCUCCAUCAUCUUCUUCCCCUCCUUCUCCUCCUCCUCCUUUAUGACAAAAGCCAAUGACCUGCUCUUCCUUAGCCCUUCAGAGAGCCUUGCUGUUGCUGUUGUUGCUGUCUCCUUGGGGUCUUUGAGAAGAGAAGAGGUGGUGGGGGAGGGGAGCUCAGAGUUGGAUGAGUAGGGAGAAGAGGUGGUGGAGGAGGUGUUCAUGGUGGUUGUAGAAGAAGAAGAAGCUGAGAUGUGAGAGAGCCUCUCUCUUAAGCAAUAUGGGCAAACUCCUUUGCAUAGCCUGUGUUCUGGGUGUCUCUUGCACCUCCCUUCAUCCUCUGAUCUCCUCAUCUUUCUCUCUCUCUCUUUUUCUCUCCUCUCACUUAGAAGGGUGGUAUAUAUACAAUGAAGUUUGUUUCUUCUUGUGAUCUAUUUUUUGCAUGGGGUAUAUAUGAUUACAUAAGAUUAGAGAGAGAGAGAGAGAGAGAGAGAGAGAGGAGGUGAGGUGGUGAGGAGGAGCAGGUGAGGUUUCUAGGAUUCUUCUUAAUUAAUUUCUUCUGGGUUGUGAGAGGAGAUGUUUCCACAUCUCAUUGGGGAGGAGUAUUUGGUGGCCAUGCUUUGUUUAUUUGAUGAGUUGGCUAGGUUUUGGUAGACCACCUAAAAUGUCUAGUAGUUUGGCUCGGGCCAACUUGUCAGGUUUGUUCCCAGGAAUAGGUCAUGAGCUGUUUGAUGAAAUUUUUUUUAAAAAAAAUAUUAGUAGACAAACAAUAUGAUACACAUUUUUUAAAAUUUCUUUAUCAUACAUGAGUUAGUGGAGAUUCAAAUUUUGAGCCUUAAUUUUACAUUUCUACUUUUCAGCUAUUAUAGCUAUAAACCUAUUUUAUUAUCAAAAUAGUUUACUAUAAAUAAUUAUAGAUUAACAAAUCAUACCUAGCACAAUUGGUUACAUAUUUAAUAAUUGAUACUCGAGGUCCUAGUUUUCAAAUUUAGUCGCUCUCUGUGAGUUGUGCACACCAGGAUUAAUGAUUUUGCUUGCAAUUAUUUAGUACUUUGCAUGGGCCCGAACUCAUCCUAUUGAAUUGUUAGCUUACUUUGUCGGUGGAAUUUUCGUCCGUAACAGUUUAUAGCAAUUAAAUUUUCUAAUUAAGUUUCGAAGAUCUAUAAAUUUAGCAGUAAAAGUUUUUUAUAUGAUCUUAUAAUUAAACCUAAAAGCAGGGUACUGUGCACGUAGAUGACUGAAUAACUCACCUUUUGUCUUUUUUUAAUGGGAAUAACUCUCCUUUAAUUUGCACGUAGUCAAAAGUUUAUAAGGAACGAAGAGUAUCAUAUUAUUAAUAAAAUAAUAUGGUACUCCCUUAGUUCAUGCAUGUGGCAUCAAACAAAUAUUAAAAAAGGCCUAGAUGAUUUAACAAAUGAAUGAUAGGGAAAGCAACGGAAUCAACGUAAAAUCAACAUUACACUCGAAUCUAUAUACAGUACUAUACAUAUAUUAGUACAAGGACACGAAGGAAUAGCUAAUAAUAGAGUUUGGGGGAACUCCAUUACAAAGAAGGAAUAAUGUGCCAAGACCUAAAAGGAAGACUCAAGAAAAGGGAUUUGUAAUUUCUACAGAAAUACUAUUUAAAUAAUUCUACAUAAAGAAACACUAAUAAAUUUUAUUAUAUUAUUAUAUAAUUUUUAGUUUAUAUAAGUUGCGACAAUAGGUAAAAUUUUAUAUUGCGGAUUUAAUUUUAAGAGAUUGGAAACUCAUUUUAAUUUUCACCUAUAGUAUAUUUAGGUAAUAUAGUGGCCGAAAACACUACUUUUAUAUUUUAGAAGAUCGAAAAAAAAAGUCGGAAGCAAUAACGUCGACUUUUUGGCCUUGGAUCGAUCUUUUUAACUAUUUGUAACAUUUGGAUUAAUAUUAUUACUUUGUGGGGAUCACACAAUUUUAGUGGAUCACUCAACUUUAGGAGAAAUCAUUAUCAUCCCAAUCGAAUAAUUUUUAAUUUAAAUGCCAAAAAAUCAAAAAUAUGAGCUUUCAAAAAUAUGAUAGUUCUUUUUUUUUUAAAGAGAGAUAGGUAGCAUACUACCCGUUUCGUUUAUUUCAUUUAAAAAUAAACUUAGCUAGAAAUGUGAAUCAACAACUAGGAUUCGAACUUGGUACCUCGGAUACCAACCACCAAAUCUUUUGCAACUUACCCUAGGGACGGCGAGUAAUAUAAUAGUUGGUUCUACACAACUAUUCCUCUAGCUACUGUUUGGUUCGGGGUUAAGAAAAAACUAGUUAUUCCAGAAAUAGGGUUAAGUUCAGGAUUAAGGUGGGGUUAGAGUAUUUUUGUAUUUGGUUGGGAGUUGGAGUUAGUUCAGGAUAGUGAAAAAUAGUGUUUGGUUCGAGUAGGUGGGAUAAGAAGAAUAGUAAGUUAUUAUGAGUAAAAAUAGUGUUUGGUUGGAGUUUGGCGGAUUAGAUAGGGUUAGCUAAUUCGGGAUAGCCUAUUUGAGAUGGAGUUAGCUAACCCCAUCCAUUUUUGAAAGUGUUUGAAAAUAAUACGAAAGUUUAGAGAUUAUUCCACCCCUUAAUCCCCCACCAAACAAAGGCAGUGUAUUAAAAACUUUAGUAGUCUUAAGAGCCGUGAUUGGCUAUUCAACUGCUUUCCUAAUAGCGGUAGCGGUAGGCCCCACUGGAUCGUUCGCUUGUCACCGUCCAAUAAGAAUGGAGCUCAGUUUCAGGUCCACGGUCCACGAGCCGAUCGAAGCUGCGCGUGCGCCGACAGGGGAGAUCGGGCGUGGAAAAGAUCGGCUGAGUUACGUGCGGAGUACGGCGCGUGGAGGGGAAGCAACGGCGAGGAAGUUCGCGCCGGUCCACGUGUGGGUCUACGUCAGCUUUUAUUUUAUUUUUCUUUUUUUUUUUGUCCCCACUCCGCCGCACGUGUUUUGCCCGUCACUCUCAACUCCUACAAUAUAUCAUGUCGCCCACUGAUCAGUCGUUUAUCGACUAAUAUAUAAUUUAAUUAGAAAAUAAAAAUCAAAUUUGAUACAUGCAAUUCGAAAAAUUUAAAAUACUCUAAAUAAGUAACUAACUAUAAGAAAGAGUGAUUAAUAUAUACCUAAUAUGAUAAUAUUUAUCAUAAUUAAUGACGUGAUAAUUAUACAACUAUACCAGAACAUCACUAAAAUAUUAAAAUUUAGUUAAUUUAAUUAUUAUACAAUAUGGAAAAUUAAGUAGCUUCUUUCACACGUGAAUAUGGACACAAGGACACGAUGUGUGGUGUAGUACAAAUUAAGAGAAAACAAUCGAGUGUUCAAUCCAUGGCUUCUUCCUCCGCGUUUCUGUUGGAAACACCCGCACGGCUCUGUCUCUGGAGUGCGACCGAGUCAAGCAUAUAAACUUUCAAAGGCGAAAUUGAAACCAACCUGCGUAAAAAAGUACAUCUCGUACACCGUUUCUUAAAAACACUCUAAUAGAGGUUUCAAAAUUAAAAUAUAAUUCACUUGAGCAUAUUUUACAAUAAUCGAUCAAAAGGCCUUUGCAUCAAAGAUUAUAAUAUCUAAAUAUUAUUUUCUUCUACAUAUAUAACAAUAUUUAUUUUUAUAUAUUAUUAAUUUAUUAAAUAAUAGUAAUAAAUAUAAUACUUUUAUAAUUAUAUCUGUUGAAUUAAAUUAUACUUUUCAGACAUAAAUCUCCGAUGCGGUGUAUGAAAUAAUAAUUGCUCCAAUUUCUAGAUGCUGGGCACGGGGAUUGCAUGCGGUACAUUUUGAUGGGGCCCUGGGCCAUUGUCCCAGUGCCCAUUUGGGCGACAUAUCGUCGUAGGUAGAAAUAAGCUUUAUAGUCCUUUGCCUCGUAUGAAGCUCUCAUUUUCGGUAGGGAUAUUUACUAUAUAGCAGCUACAUCAUAAUAUAUUUAUUCAGCUAAAUAUAUUUCUUCUUUCGAGAGAAAUGUAUAAUAAAAAUAUUCUAUAAAAAACUAUGAUGGAUGAGUGAAUCUAGGAGAGCAGCUUGAUUGGUUGAAAAUAUCACAUCAUCCUAUGUGACUGCUAUUUUUUAGAUUUUUUUUUCUUAUUUUCCCCGCCAACUAUCGCACUUGUUUUGCCCAAUGGGCCAAGCUCUGUAAAGAAGUAGUAGGCCUAGUGGGCCUAGUUGAACUCCCUGGGCCUCAGCGCAUCAUGUUUUCUACCAUGAAUAAAUACAAAUUUGGACUUGUCUUUCACCGGCCCAAGUUUUGAGUUAAUGGAUCGAGCCCGAGCCCGUUUCGCCCCUGCAAAGAAGCCUGCCCAAGAUACGUAAUGUACAUGCACAAGUACGGAUUCCCAACCUCUGACUUGAAAGUUCCCUCUAGGCGGCAACCAACUGCAAGAGACAGUGAUAGUUAGAUAAAUAUAUUAAUAGUUAUUUCUUGUUAUUCAAUAGACCAAUUUGGAAUUCUAUUAAUAGCACCAAGCUAUUGGUGCUGUUAGUUUUUUAGCUCUUGAAUUGAAAAAUGUGUGGUUAAGAUAAUGUGGGCCCUCUAGGAUUGAGUGAGUGGUUGGUUGAAUAGUAUAAUCUAAUAGAUAAAAAUAAUCAAGUGUAAAAUCUAACGAUGGAAAACUUGAUAGCACCAAAUCUUUGAUACUAUCGAUAGUAUCUCAGCCGGAUUCUCUCUCUAUCUCUUUCUAUAUAUAGAGAGAUUCUAUAUAUAGAGAGAGAGAGAGAGUCCUGAGUAGAUAUCUUAGAUAUCUUAAAAGUGUCUUAUUAUUCCCUUCCAUGUGCCAUGAAUGUGUAGAAUACAAGAAACGACUAUAAUUAAGUUUAAUAAAAAAAAGAAGGAAAAUGUAGAGGAAAUUGCUCAAAUGGAUGUGCUUCCUUUUUUAUUAUGAUAGAAAAUAUAUGCAGUGCUAUACUGAAAAUUAUGGUAUGAAAAGAAAUUGACCCACCGACUGUUCCUAGAGCAAAUGGUAAAAGGCUUGAUGGUUGAUACCCGAAGUCUCAGGUUCGAAUUCUAGUUGAUUCACAUUUCUAGCUAAGUUUAUUUCUAACGAAAUAAACGAAGCGGGUAGCGUGCUACCUAUCUCUUAAAAAAAAAAAAAAAGAAAAGAAAAGAAAAGAAAUUGACCCAAAUGAACUAAGUUGCUAUGGCACUGAGAAAUCUCAAAAAUUCAUAGCAUGAAAAGAAAAACCUUGGAAAAAAUAGAAAAAAAUAAUUAACGCUAGUUAGAAUAAUUGAUUAACUUCGACCAAACCCUACACUAGCAUAGAUAGACAGAACAGAGAUUCUAAUAGAAUUAAGAUUCGUUUCUGUAUUAUUUGCAAAUACUUUGAAGUAUACCAAAUCUAACUCGAUCGUUCAAGAAUAAUUAAAAUUUAAGAUAUGAGUACACAUACAAUUCAAAAAUCAAUAAAAAUACUAAACCUUGCCCACAUCUAUAGUAGUAUAUAUAAAUCCUCAGUUUUGGGACAGGUGGCGGCAAACGGAGGCGCGGGCAGGGGCGAGCGCGAGCGCGAGCGUGGGGCGCAGGCAGGCGGGCGCGCGGGGCGGGGAGCCGCGUGGCGCGGGGAGAAGAGAGGAGAGGAGAGGAGAGGGUGGGGCCCAGCCGAGGGGAGAGGAAAGGGAUAGGGGAGGGAGAAUUUUUUUUUUUUUGUGUCUCUUUUUGUCUCUUUAAUUUUUUUCUUUAAUUUUUUUUAUAUAUUUGUUCUCUUGGUAUAUGAUUAAAAAAAUUUAUAAAUUUUUUUAAUUCAAUCUAAAUUUUUAUUUAUUUUUAUAAAAAUUUAAAAUAUAUAAAUAAUUUUUAAAUAAGUUAAAUUAUUUGUAUUAUAUAAUAUUAAUUAAGCUGAAUAAAACGAUUAUUAACAUAAUAUAAAAAAUAAGGUCAGAAAAUUAUAAAAUAAACAUAAAAAAGUAAAAAUAAAAUAAAAGGUAAAAUAGAUAAUAAAAGAAUAAACCAAAAAUGUGAGAACAAUAAUUAUUUUUCUAAAAAUUGUAAUACUAAUUAUAAUAUAAUUAUAAUAUAUAUAAUUAUAAAUAUAAUUAUAUAUAAUUUUUUAUUAGUAUGAUUUUUGCCUUUAUUUUUUUUAAUCUUUCUUAUAAUUUAUUUUUAUAUUUUUAUUACAGCAAUAGUUAUUUAUUUUUUAGUUAAUUUUUUAUAUAAUUUUUUAACUCUUUUUUUACUAUUAUUUAUUUUAUUUAUAUAUUUAUUUUUAUAAAAUUAUUCUGCGGCAACGCACAGAUACUCCACUAGUUAUCCAAAAUUCCACAGUAGUUAAACCAAAAGAGACAAAUAUCAGACCAUAAGCUGUCCCUUUCCUCUUUAUUUCGUGAGGGGCAUAAUCUUAUUAUAAAACAAUAUUGCUUCGGAGCUAUUUUCAAUGCUCUCGGCCUACAAAAGAAAGUGACUUGUACCAAACUUAGCUUGGAAUAAAUAGGUUGACAGGGAAAUGAGAUGACACCAUGAGUGAUAAGCCCGUUAAAUUUUCUGGGAAAGGAAAAAAAAUUCCCAUUUUUGAAGCCAUAUUGCGACUAAGAUAUUGAAAAUUUUCCUAAAAUGGAAGGAUCACAUCAUUUCCUCUACCCCCAACUUGUUCUUAUUUUCAUUGGAUAUAUAUAGCAUACUUAAGUGCUUAACCACUUGAGAUUUUCUUAAUCACCCAUCAGUUAAACCCCCCCGGAAAAAAUAUUGCAACCAUUGUACUGCACCUAUGUGUACUACAUUAUAUUUAUGACGAACAAAAAAAAACAAUAGGUUGCAUAUAUAGUGGCCUGGUUAUAAGUUUAUUAGUAGGUAUUGAGCGUGGAAAGUCGCGUAAGAUAAUAUACUACUUAUAUGGAGAUUUUGAGAUAUGAUCAAAUUAAUAAUGAUUCUGAUAUCUGUUAAAAGUUUUUAUAUUAGAAGAUAAAAUUAAUAAUGGUAAAAAAGUUCUUCUAAUGUGGCUUAACAUAUACUCAAAACUUAUGCGUAGGAAAUCGAAAGUAUUAUUGAGUUAUUUUUUAAAAAUUUCAAUUGUCAGAAAGUAAUAUUUUAAGAUUAUAUAUUCAACAUGUUUAGAUUAACCUAUGUGGUUGAUCUACUAGAUCAUCUUGAUCUAAUCCAACAUCCUGGCAUCUAGAGAACACGAAAAAGGGACCCUAAUUGAAAAACCAUAUAUAUAUAUAUAUAUAGAGAGAGAGAGAGAGAGAGAGAGAGAGAGAGAGAGAGAACGCGCGCUAGGCUCCUACGCUUUGAAAAGCACGGAGGUCUCCAUGCUUCUAAGUUGUUUUUGAUGAUGGAACAUUCGAUUCGACGAUUGGCUCCGUUAAAUAUGAUCUACAUUAUUACAACUAUUUAGAAACUCAAUUUCAUAAUUUUUUGACUUCAUUACCUAGUGAA
rnacentral:lncRNA from 1 species